GGGCAAGAAGAAGAAA
rnacentral:sRNA from 1 species